rnacentral:lncRNA from 1 species
UGUGGAUAGAAGAGGAGGCACCUUUCAACAACUCCUUUCUACCGAACUGGAGGGAGAAGUACCACCAGUCCUUUGUCGAGGGAUGAUGCUUGAAGGUAUAGAAAUUUCUAAACAAAGAAAGAGUUGGCCGAACUUCAGCUAAACUACAGAGGGAAAGAAAUCCUAUCAGAAAUCUAAAGGAGUUCGGUACUACAGAAACUAAAGAAAUAUUUAAGAAGCGAAAAAGAGCAAUGACAAAAGGUGGAAGCGGAAGUCGAAGUCUAAUGAGGAAAGCUUCCUGAUAUAAACAGAAGCAGCCGGGGGGAGGAGCGCUAGUCCGGCCAGUCAGCCUGAAAAGCUCCAGCUCGUACUUCAGAGGAAUCCCAUACUAAAUCCUAAUCAGUGAGAGUUCCUUCAGAGUCAGAGAGCUGGGGAUGGUGUCUGAUAC